GUAUAAUGGGUAAAUCUUCCUUACCCAGUUUCCUGUUUCUUAAUAGUUCAAAAAAAUAAGAAGAAAGUGCUUUAGGUUACAUAUGUGAUUAUGUAACUCUGAUCUUUUUCUUAUAUGUGAUAGGCAGAUUUUCUCUGCAGGUGUGAUGACCAAACAUCAGAAUUACUCCUGCUCUAGAAUAGAAAGAAUUUAGGUUCCAGGCCUAUAAGCGUCCUAUGACUUGAUGGCAUCUAAACAUAAUCCAGCAUUCAUUAGGUCUGUCUCAACCUGAACAGUUCUACUCCAUCACUUUAUUUCUGCUCUAAUUAAUCUUCAGUCAUUUCCAGCAGGCUCGAGGUGGUAUAUCCUUGAAUAGAACUAGAUAGUUGGAAGGAUCUGUGAGCAUAUGUUCUUUCAAAAGCUCAUUUUUUUGUGAUCACAAAGAUGAUUUUCUCUGAAAUUUAGAGGUUAGCUAUCUGAGGUGUUAAUACUGCUUUGAAAGAAUGAGAAGUAUGGGAAUUUUUCUCAGAAUGGGAAAUUACUGUUUUUUUAAGUAACACUAUUAUGAUGUACUGCUUCUUUUAAGAUACAUAAGAAAUGAGUUAAUGAUAGUGUUUUGGAAAAUAAUAUGUAGAUAUGUAUCUGGUGAUUGUUAUCAGUUGUUACUUGUUAAAAUUAAUGACUUAUUAAGUUUGAGUGUUAAAAAAAAAGUUUGAAUGGGUGUAGUGUCUCUUAUCCCAUCCAGUGACAAUUUAUGCUGAGAGUGCUUUAACUUUUCAAAAAAAUUUAUUUUUAAAAAUUUUAUUUGAAAGGCAGAGUUACAGAGAGAGGAUGAGAGACCCAGAGUAAGAUCUUCCAUCUGCUGGUUCACUUCCCAGAAGGGCCUCAACAGUCAGGCCUGGGCUAGGCUGAAACCAGGAGCUCAGAGCUUCCUCCUGGUCUUCCAUUUGGGUGCAGGGGCCCACGUACCUGCGCUAUCCUCUGCUGCUUUCCCAGACGCAUUAGCAGGGAGCUGGAUUGGAAGUGGAGCAGCCCGAACUUGAAGGUGGAGACUUAACGUGCUACGCCAUAACGCUGGCCCUAACUUGACUUUGUUGUUAGUGAGGACUUUGAGGGAAAUUCUGAGAGAUGGAAAAUAGGAAAAAAGGAGUCUAGCUAAAAUGUGUGUGUGUGGAGGGGGGUAUUUAUUAUCUAGCAAGGAAGUUUUUUUAUAAGGUUUAUUUUCAUGGCAGAGUCACAUAGACAGAAAGAGAUAUUCGAUUUACUGGUUCACUCUUCCAAAUAGCCUCAAUGGCCAGGACUGGGCAAGGCCGGAGCCAGGAGCCUAGAACUCCAUUCAGCUCUCCCACGUGGGUUUCAGGGGCUCAAGGACUUGGAUCAUGUUCCUGGGCUUUCCCAGGUGCAUUACCAGGGAGCUGGAUUGGAAGUGGAGCAGCUGGGAUUUGAAUCUCGCUCAUGGGAUACAUGUGGUUGGUGGCUUAACCUGCUGCAGCAUGACUCCAGUACCAGAAAUAGUUAGUUAGUUAGUUAGUUAGUUAGUUGUUAGUUAUUUGAAAGACAGAGUUAGGGAGAGACAGAGAUCUUCCAUCUGCUCAUUCACUCCCGGAAUGGCCUCAACAACCAGGUCUCCCACAUGGGUGUCAUGGACCCAAGCACUCUGGCCAUCUUUUACUACCUUCCAGAGAGCUGGAUCAGAAGUGGAGCAGCUAGGACUUGAACCUGUGCUUUGACAUGGGAUGUUGGCAUUGCAAGUGAUGGCUUAACCUACUGAGCCACAAUGCUGGUCCCCUAGCAAGGAAAUUUGAUGGAGAUGAUAUAAAACUCUGAGGACUCAAGUUAGUUUAAAUAGUGACCUUUUGUUUAUUUUUCUUUCUUAUUUUUUUUUAAAGAUUUCAUUUAUUUAUUUGAGAGGCAGAGUUCCAGACAGAUAGAGGGAGAGACAGAAAGAAAGGUCUUCCAUCUGCUGGUUCACUCCCCAAAUGGCUACCACUUCCAGAGCUGGGCUGAUCUGGAGCCAGGAGCCUUUUCCAGGUCUCCCACGUGAGUGCAGGGGCCCAAGCACUUGAGCCAUCUUCUGCUUUCCCAGGCCACUAGCAGAGAUAUGGCUUGGAAGAGGAACAGCUAGUAUAUAAACUAGCACCCAUAUGGGAUGCUUGUGCCACAGGCAGAGGCUUAACCUACUACGCCACAGAGCCAGCCCAACUCAGUUUACUUUUCAAUUCUUUAUAAAUCAGUUCUUUUUUUUUUUUCAAAGAUUUUAUUUAUUUUAUUUUAUUUUAUUUAUUAUUAUUUUUUUUUGACAGGCAGAGUGGACAGUGAGAGAGAGAGACAGAGAGAAAGGUCUUCCUUUGCCGUUGGUUCACCCUCCAAUGGCCGCCGCGGCUGGCGCGCUGCGGCCGGCGCACCGCGCUGAUCCGAUGGCAGGAGCCAGGAGCCAGGUGCUUUUCCUGGUCUCCCAUGGGGUGCAGAGCCCAAGCACCUGGGCCAUCCUCCACUGCACUCCCGGGCCACAGCAGAGAGCUGGCCUGGAAGAGGGGCAACCGGGACAGAAUCCGGCGCCCCAACCGGGACUAGAACCCGGUGUGCCGGCGCCGCUAGGCGGAGGAUUAGCCUAGUGAGCCGCGGCGCCGGCCCAGAUUUUAUUUAUUUUAUUUGAGAGUUUAAAGUUACAGAUAGUGAGAGGGAGAGACAGAGAAAGGUCUUCCUUCCGUUGGUCCCUCCCCAAGUGGUCGCAACGGCUGGAGCUGUGCCGAUCCGAAGCCAGGAGCCAGGCGCUUCUUCCAGGUCUCCCAUGUGGAUGCAGGGGCCCAAGGACUUGGGCCAUCUUCUGCUUUCCCAGGCCACAGCAGAGAACUGGACCGGAAGUGGAGCAGCUGGGACUAGAACCGGCACCCACAUGGGAUGCCGGCGCCGCAGGCGGAGGAUUAACCUACUGUGCCAUGGCACCGGCCCUUAUAAAUCAUUUCUUUAUGAUGGGGAAAGACUGCUUAAACUAGCCUUUUUUUUUUUUUUUUAAAGGAUUUAUUUAUUUUGAUAGUCAGUUACAGAGGGAGGGAGAGGGCGAGAGAGAUAUUCCACCGGCUGGUUCACUCUCCAGAUGGCCACAACUGAGCCAGGCUGAAGCAGGAGCCAGGAGCUUUAUCUAGGUCUCACAUGUGGGUGUCAGAGACCCAAAUACUGGGCCAUUCUUCACUGCUUUUUCCCUGGCCAUUAGCAGGGAGGUUUAUCAGAAGUAGAGCAGCCAGGACAUGAACUAGUGUCCAUAUGAGAUGUCUGUGUCGCAGGCAGCAGCUUUACCCACCAUGCCACAGUGCCCGCCCCUAAACUAGCCUUUCAGAAAAGAAUUAAUGUACCACAUUUAAUUGUUAGCCUUUGUUUUUCUGCUUUAAGUAAAAACUCUCCUUUGGAGGAGAGUUCAGAGUGUUACUAACUACAUUUGGACUGACCCAUUGUGGAGGAUGACUUAGAAUAAUUGUGGCUUUGUAAAAUUUUCAAGUCCUUCCCCCUGUUGGUUAUGGCAGUGGGGCAAUGUUAGUUCAGGAGCUACAUGGUAGAGGGAAAAUAGCCUGUUGUUUGUUUUUUUUUAAAUUUCUUUCUAUUCAGCAUCUGUAUAUCUUUGGUUUCUCUCUCCCCUUUCUUAAUUUCACUUGUUUUAAAUAUCAGCCCUGUUUCUUCAGUUUAACUUUAUUCAUGUUUUUUCUCUAAAUUACUAAUAAAAAUACUUUUGUGAAGCCUGAGCAUGAAAAAUAUUUAAUGCAGAUAGAAUGUGUUUGGAAAGAAAGAUGUUAAAAAGUUUUAAUUGUUUUGAAGUUAAGCCAAUACCUUGUUUAUGUACAGUGAAAACACUGGAAAUGGUCUGGCUUUCCAUGAGUUCUUUAGUUGUCAGAGUAGUUUUUAAAUACUGUUGUUGCAGAAUAACCAUUUUAUAUUUCAAAAGCCUCUUGGUAUUUCUGCUCACUUUCUGGACAGUUCCUUGUGUCGGUGAGGGGCAGAUUAGGAGAGGUUGAUCUAUAAUGGUUAGAACAUCUAACAGAACUAUAAGAGCCUGCCUCUUACUUUGACUUGGAAAAAUCACUAUUGGUGAACCUCAGUGCUUUAUCUUCCUGCUUCUGCUUUGUAAUUUCAUUUCAAAACAGCUUGAGUCUGCAGCCUUUCUUCCUGUAAAAGGACAUUCCUUGUGUUAGAAUAUCCUUUGAAAGGUUGGGCAUAGCUGCUGGAGAUUUUAUCUUUCAAGGUACUUUACAUAAAUAGGUUUUUAAUUAUUCUGGAAAUUGUUCAACGAGUUGUAAAGUAGUUUUAUAUCUCUAAAGCAAAUGUUCUCCACUUGGUUGAGGAAACACCUCGGAUAACCAAGUAAUGGGUGUGUUACUAGAGCGAGGCCUCUGGUGACCCAGGAAUGGGUGUUAUUCGAGUGAGGGAGAACAUGCACGUGCACUGGUUCUUUGACAUCGUCCCAGUCUGGCCCAAGUCCUUUCUGGAAAUGGAGUUGUCACACAGAAGUAGGGCAGGCUCAGCUGUGUCUCCUCUGGUUUUCUUACUCUCAUUCACAACCUCCCCUAAGAGGUAAGUGCUUGCUGAAAGUUACAGAAAUAACAAUUUUUAGGACACCUCUCUGCUGUCAUGUUUUAGACAUCCACAUGUAUACCAGAUGAGGUUGUACAAACUAUAUAACUGUCCCAACAGCUUUCUUGCAGAAGGUAAAUAUCUCACAUUGUUUAAAAGUAAACUCUUAAUAUUUAAAGAAUUCUUAGUUUCAGACAGAACCAGAAUUGAGACAUUUAAUAACAUAAAUGCAAACUCCAGAAUCCAAAUUUUUGUUGCUCUAGAUAUUGGAAACAUGGGAAACCUGAGCAGUAAACCUUAUGGUUGGAAGUGAAAGUGUAAAUUUGACACUCUCCCUCUUAAAAUGUCACUGGAUAGAAUCCUGUUUAUCCACACUUAUGGCUUCCCUGUUGUGCCAGUGCCGUGUUUUGUAGUCCAACUGUAGCCAAAGUUAAGCUGAGCAUGUUACCACAACCUUACUAUUUCUCCUACUUUGAUGAGACAGUUGUUACUGUCAUAUGAGAGAGUAGUUUGGGUGCAUUGAUCCAGUCAUCUUUAUUUUUCGAAGGACACAGAGUAAAUAAAAAUGGGAUUGGAAAAAGAUUUUAAGAACAACUGCUUUCCCCUGUUUUUCUUUUAGCUCAUUAAAAUUUUCUCUUCAGGUAUAGUUUUAUUCAUUCAACACAUUUGAGUAUGUUUCAGUCACUUUAUGAGGUAUAGGGGAGGAAUAGUAACAAGAUCAUGAAGGUCUCUGCUGUCAUGUAGCUUACUUUGAAAGGUAGUCUCUGUACUCACAGGGGUUAAAAAGAUGAUCCUAAUCAAGGUUUGCCUUUUGCAUUGCUAUUUUUUAAAGAUUUAUUUAUUUUUUUGAAAGAGUUACACAAAGAAGGAGAGGCAGAGAGAGAGAGAGAGAGGUCUUCCAACCACUGGUUCACUCCCCAAUUGGCCACAACGGCUGGAGCUGCUCUGAUCCGAAGCCAGGAGCCAGGAGCUUCCUCUGGGUCUCCCUCGCAGAUGGCCACACCAGCCAGUGCUGUGCCAGGGCAAAGCCAGGAACUUCUUCCAGGUCUCUCAUGAGGGUGGCAGGGGCCCAAACACUUGGACCAUCUUCUACUGCUUCUUCCCAGAGCAUUUCAGGGAGCUGGAUCAGAAGUGAAGCAGCUGGGACUCAAACUAGCACCUAUAUGGGAUGUAAGUUUCACAGACAGCUUUAACUCGGUAUGCCACAGUGUUGGCCUCUCUUUUACAUUUUGAUUAACAUGAAAUACUUGAAUUUUUUAAAAAAGAUUUAUUUAUUCGAAAGUUAGAGUUACAGAAAAACAGAGAAAGAGAGAGAUCUUCCAUCCGCUGGUUUACUCCCAAAAUGGCUGCAAGGGCCAGAGCUGGGCUGAUCCUAAGCCAGAAGCCAGGAGCUGGGAGCCAGGGACCAGGAGCUUCUUCCAGGCCUUCCUCAUGGAUGCAGGAGCACAAGGACUUGGGUCAUCCUUGGUUGCCCUCCCAGGCACAAUAGCAGAGAGCUGGAUCAGAAGUGGAACAGCCAGGACUCAAAACAGCAUGCAUGUGAGGUGCCAGCAUUGCAGGUGGUGGAUUGACUUGCUAUGCCACAGCACCGGCCCCAAUAUUUGUAUACUUUUAAAGGGUAUAGUACUGUAUUUUAACACAUGUACAUCUGUAAACCAAAGCAGGCAACUAGCCAUUCCUUCCCCCCCUCCCUCCAUCCCUUCCUUUCUUCUCUCUCCUUUAUUUGAAAAUCAGAGCUGCAGAGAGAGAGAGGCACAGGGCAAAGAGGGAUCUCCCAUCCCUUGGUUCAUUCCCUAAAAUCCCAGCAGCCAGAUCUGGACCAGGCUGAAGCCAGAAGCCAGGAACUCCACUCUGACGUCCUAUAGGGGCAAUAGGUGCCCAAGUAUUUGAGCCAUCUUUUGCUGUCUUCCCAGGCACAUUAGCAAGAAUCUGGAUCAGAAGUGGAGCAUCCAGGGUAUGAGCCACCACUUUGAUACAGGAUGCUGGCAUUGCAGAAAUCUUUAUCAGCCACACCAUACCACCAGCCCCGAUUUCCUUAUCCUUUCUUUGUGUUUGGAGCUUCCUACCUCUCCUCUUCUCCAAACUUUUACUAUAAUCACUUAAUUUUUUGAAACUGUGGACUUUUAUUUAACCUUUUUUUAAGUUUUUUUUCUAUUUUUUUUUAUUAUUUGAAAGGCAGAGUUACACAGAAAGAGGAGAGGCAGAGAGAGAGAGAGAGAGAGAGGUCCUCCAUCCACUGGUUCACUCCCCAAUUGGCUGCAACAGCUGGAGCUGUACUAAUCCGAAGCCAGGAGCCAGGAGCUCCUUCUGGGUCUCCCACGUGGGUGCAGGGGCCAAGGACUUGGGCCAUCUUCUACUGCUUUCCCAGGCCAUAUCAGAGAGCUGGAUCAGAAGUGGAGCAGCCAGGUCUCGAACCGGUGCCCAUAUGGGAUGCUGGCACUGCAUGCAGCAGCUUUACCCGCUACGCCACAGCGCCAGCCCCUUACCUUUUUGUUUUUAAGAAAAAUUUUGUAUCUUUUUUAUUUUAGUUUUAUUUCAAAGACAGAGAGAGACAAACAUAUAUUGUAUUUGCUGAUUCAUUCCCCAAAUGCCCUCAACAGCUAAGACUGGGCUAGACUGAAGCCAGGAGCCUGAAACCCAAUCCUGGUGUCUCGUAUCGCUGGCAUGGACCCAACUAUUUGAGUCGUUACCACUGCCUCCCAUGGAGCUGGAUUCAUAAAGCAGAGCUGGAACUCAGACACUCCAAAAUGCGAUUUGGGCUCCUUUUUUGACUUUUUAUUUUAUUUUUUAUUAAUUUAUUUGCAUUUUGUUUGAAAGAGAGGGAUGGAGGGAGGGAAAUCUUUCAUUUCACUGGUUCACUCCCUAAAUGCCCACAAUAGCCAGGGCUGGGCUAGACCAAAACUAGGAGCCCGGAACUCUCUCUGGGUCUCUCAUGUGUGUGGCAGGAACCCCAAGUACUUGAGCUAUCACUUGCCUCUUAGGAUGUGCAAGAGCAGGAAGCUGUAUUAGAAGUGUAGGCGUGUAGGAGCCAGAACUCAAAUCAAGCACUUUAAUAUGGGAUGUUGGUAUUCCAAUCAGUGCCACACCACCACCUCCCCAUAUUUGACCUUUUUUUUUUUUUUUAAUUUAUUUAUUUGAAGGAGUUACACACAGAGAGAGGUCUUCCAUCUGCUGGUUCACUCCUUGAAUGGCCGCAGCAGCCAGAGCUGUGCCAGUCCGAAGCCAGGAGCCAGGAGCCAGGAGCUUCUUCUGGGUCUCCCACAUGGGUACAGGGUCCCAAGGACUUGGGCCAUCUUCUACUGCUUUCCCAGGCCAUAGCAGAAAGCUAGAUCGGAAAUGGAACAGCCAGGACUCAAACCGGCUCCCAUAUGGGAUGCCAGCGCAUUAACCCACUGCACAACAGUGCCGGCCCCCAUAUUUGACCUUUAUAAUGCUUUCUCUCAUCUCAAAAUUGCCACCAUAGAUUUUUUCUCCUUUUUUUUUUUUAACAUUUAUUUAUUUAUUUGAAAAAGAGAGAGGGAAAGAUGGUGAGAGAGAGAUCAUUCAUCUGUUGGUUCACUCCCAAAAUGACUGCUUCUGCCAGGUCUUGGCUAAGCUAAAGUCAGGAGCCAGGAGCUUCAUCUGGGUCUCUCAUUUGGGUGCACGGGCCCAAGCACCUGGACCAUCCUCUAUUGCUUUCCCAGAUGCGUUAGUAGAGACAUGGAUUAGAAAUGGAGCAGCAAGGACUUGACCUGGUGCCCAUAUGGGAUGCUGGUGUCACAGGCGACUGCCCCAUGAUGCCAGACCCCACAAUAGGUUUUUAAAAAUUCCAUAGUAGGCCAGUGCCGUGGCUCACUUGGUUAAUCCUCCACCUGCAAUGCCGGCAUCCCAUAUGGGUGCCGGGUUCUAGUCCCAGUUGCUUCUCUACCAGUCCAGCUCUCUGCUGUGGCCCGGGAGGGCAGUGGAGGAUGGCCCAAGUGCUUGUGUCCUUGCACCGCAUGGGAGACCAGGAGGAACCACUUUGCUCCUGGCUUUGGAUCAGCACAGUGCUGGCUAUAGCAGCUGUUAGGGAAGUGAACCAACAGAAGGAAGACCUUUCUCUCUGUCUCUCCCUCUCACUGUCAAAUAAAAAAAAAUUCCAUAGUAAAAAACUAAAUGAAUUCUUUUUUUUCUUUUUAAGAUUUAUUUUAUUUAUUUGAAAGAGUUACGGGGCAUUGAGGGAGAGAGAUCUUCCAUCUGCUGUUUUACUCCCUAAAUGGCCUCAACGGCCAGAGCUGAACCAAUCCAAAGCCAGGAGCCAGGAGCUUCUUCCAGGUCUCCCAUGUGGGUGCAGGGGCCCAAGAACUUGGGCUAUCCUCUGCUGCUUUCCCAGUCACAUUAGCAGGGAGCUGGAUUGGAAGUGGAGCAGCUGGGUUGCAAACUGGUGCCCAUAUGAGAUGCUGGUGCUGCAGGCGGAGACUUUAAAUCACUGCGCCACAGUGCCGGCCCUCAAUGAAUUCUUCUAAGAUAACGGGAGACUCAUCAUCUUAGUCAUAUACCUAAUUGUGAUACCUGGAAAGUCAAAAAAACAGGUUAGUCUUCAUGGAUAGAUCAAUCUUCCAUUAAGACAGUUUGUAGCUGAGCCUUAUUUGAAGUCCUGUUGUAUUAUACUUCUCAAAUCUACAUUUCAGUUUUGCUUAGAUAAGUGGUACAAGCAGGUCACCAUUGUUUCCCUUUCUUCUAUAUUAAUCAUAUAGUAUCCUUAGUCUUUUCAGUCAGCUGACCUAUCAGUGCGAAUGUAGGAAAGUAUAUAACAUACACACACACAGAGAGAUUUAUUUUUAUUUAUUUGAAAGGGAAAGUUAAAUCUAGAAUGAGAAAUAGAGAGAGAGAGAUCUUCCAUCUGCUGGUUCACUCCCCAAAUGGCUGCAUUGGCCAGCACUGGGGCAGGCUGAAAGGAGCCAGGAGCUUCAUCUGGGUCUCCCAUGUGGGUGCAGAGGCCCAAAGACUUGGGCCAUUCUUCGCUGCUUUCCCAGGCAUAUUAGCCCAGAGCUAGAUUGGAAGUGGAGCAGCUAGGACUUGAACCCAUGCCUAUAUGAGAUUCCAGUAUUGCAGAUAGUGACUUAACCUGAUAAGCCAUAAAGCCAGCCCCUGUAAGAAGUGUAUACAUCCUUGAUAAUUCAAAAGGCAGAUAGAUAGAUAAUUGGCUUUUUUUUUUUUUUUUUUUU